GAUGAACGCUGGCGGCGUGCCUAACACAUGCAAGUCGAGCGUGAUUGUGUGGAUUGAAGCUUCGGCAGAGAGAAACACAUGAAAGCGGCGGACGGGUGAGUAACGCGUGGGCAACCUGCCCCAUACAGCGGAAUAGCCACUGGAAACGGUGAUUAAUGCCGCAUAAGACCACAGUAUCGCAUGUUACGGGGGUCAAAGACCUAUCGGUAUGGGAUGGGCCCGCGUCUGAUUAGCUAGUUGGUGAGGUAACGGCUCACCAAGGCGACGAUCAGUAGCCGACCUGAGAGGGCGGACGGCCACACUGGAACUGAGACACGGUCCAGACUCCUACGGGAGGCAGCAGUGGGGAAUAUUGCACAAUGGGCGCAAGCCUGAUGCAGCAACGCCGCGUGAGUGAAGAAGGCCUUCGGGUCGUAAAGCUCUGUCCUGUGGGAAGAAAAAGAUGACGGUACCACAGGAGGAAGCCCCGGCUAACUACGUGCCAGCCGCCGCCGUAA
rnacentral:rRNA from 1 species